rnacentral:hammerhead_ribozyme from 1 species
AUCCAGUUGGCGAGUCCCAAAUAAGAUGAAACGCGCGUCCUGGAU